rnacentral:miRNA from 1 species
GGGUCGUGAUUUGUGCAAA